AUGGAAAAAACAGCAAUCUGRAGUUUUCUUUUUGUUGUUUUUAUUCACAGAGYCUGGAGUCAGAUCAAACUGGAGCAGUCAGCCUCUGAGGUGAAGAGACCUGGAGAGACAGUAAAGAUGUCUUGUGUCAUUUCUGGUUACAGCAUGACAAGCUAYAAUAUCCACUGGAUCAGACAGAGACCAGGGAGAGGACUGGAGUGGAUGGGGWGGAUGARCACUGGAAACAAUGAUCCCACCUAUGGCAGUUCCUUCCAAARUCGUUUCAUCAUGACUGAAAAUGUCCCCAGCAGCACCCACACCCAGUACCUGGAGAUCAGCAGCCUGUCAGCAGAAGAUUCUGCUGUUUACUUCUGUGCUCGAGAGACACAGUGACUGAAAGCAGAGGAGCAGCUGCAC